rnacentral:rRNA from 1 species
UAGCAUAAUCAUUAGUUUUUUAAUUGAAAACUUGUAUGAAUGGUUGGACAAAGAAAAAGCUGUCUCUUUCAUUAAAAUUGAAUUUAACUUCUAAGUGAAAAGGCUUAGAUAUUUUAGAGGGACGAUAAGACCCUAUAAAGCUUUAUAAAUUUAAAGAUUUUAUAUAUUUUUUAUUAUAAUGAUAAUUUCUCAAAAAUUUAUUGGGUUGGGGCAACAAAAGUAUAAUUAUCAAUAACUGCUAUAAAUUACUACAAUUAUUUUUGUUAUUAGAGAGUUGUUGAUCCUCGAAAGGGAUUAAAAGAUCAAGUUACUUUAGGGAUAACAGCGUAAUUUAUCUUGAGAGUUCUUAUCAAAGGAUAAGUUUGCGACCUC